rnacentral:rRNA from 1 species
AUUGAACGCUGGCGGCAGGCCUAACACAUGCAAGUCGAACGAGUGGCGGACGGGUGAGUAAUGCCUCGGAACCUGCCGGAUAGAGGGGGAUAACUACUGGAAACGGCAGCUAAUACCGCAUACCAUCGGAUGUGCCGAGGUGUGAUUAGCUGGUUGGCGGGGUAAAGGCUCACCAAGGCGACGAUCACUAGCGGGUCUGAGAGGAUGACCCGCCACACUGGAACUGAGACACGGUCCAGACUCCUACGGGAGGCAGCAGUGGGGAAUAUUGGACAAUGGGCGCAAGCCUGAUGCAGCCAUGCCGCGUGUCUGAAGAAGGCCUUCGGGUUGUAAAGGACUUUUGGCAGGGAGGCGUUACCUGAAGAAGAAGCACCGGCUAACUACGUGCCAGCAGCCGCGGUAAUAC